rnacentral:rRNA from 1 species
AUUGAACGCUGGCGGCAGGCCUAACACAUGCAAGUCGAACGAGAGGCGGACGGGUGGGUAAUGACUGGGAAAGUGCGUGAUGGAGGGGGACAACAACUGGAAGCGGUAGCUACUACCGCAUACAUUCAGAUGGGCCCAGAUGGGAUUAGCUUGUUGGUGGGGUAACGGCAUACCAAGGCGACGAUCCCUAGCUGGUCGGAGAGGAUGACCAGCCACACGGGAACUGAGACACGGUCCAGACUCCUACGGGAGGCAGCAGUGGGGAAUAUUGGACAAUGGGCGCAAGCCUGAUGCAGCCAUGCCGCGUGUAUGAAGAAGGCCUUCGGGUUGUAAAGUACUUUCAGCGGGGAGGCGUUACCCGCAGAAGAAGCACCGGCUAACUCCGUGCCAGCAGCCGCGGUAAUAC